GACGAACGCUGGCGGCGUGCUUAACACAUGCAAGUCGAACGAAGUGGCGAACGGGUGAGUAACGCGUAAUCAACCUGCCCUUCAGAGGGGGACAACAGUUGGAAACGACUGCUAAUACCGCAUACUGAGGUAGGGUCUUCCGUCUGAUGAGAGAGUUGUAGGGGUAACGGCCAACCAAGGCCAGGAUCAGUAGCAGGUCGGAGAGGAUGAACGGCCACAGUGGGACGGAGACACGGACCAGACGCCUACGGGAGGCAGCAGUGGGGAAUCUUCCGCAAUGGAAGAAAGUCUGACGGAGCAACGACGCGUGAGUGAUGACGGCCUUCGGGUUGUAAAGAUCUGUUAAUCGGGACGCGGUACCGGAAUAGAAAGCCACGGCUAACUACGUGCCAGCAGCCGCGGUAAUAC
rnacentral:rRNA from 1 species